rnacentral:tRNA from 1 species
GGAGACGUGGCCGAGUGGUCGAAGGCGCGCCCCUGCUAAGGGCGUAGGCGGGGAACCGUCUCGAGGGUUCGAAUCCCUUCGUCUCCGCCA